GGAUGCUGGCGAGGCAAAACGCACAUUUUUCCUCUUCUCUUCUUCCGUUCACUAUUGUGUUUAACGUGGGAAGAAGUUAGCGCAACGGAUGUUUCUCUGAUCAAGUGUCUCGUAUGUUUCCAGGGUCAAUAAAUGGAGGUGUUUUGAAGCUAUCCCCGAUCUGAAAUUCUUAUGUGCAGAACUGGAUCAGCUACAUAAAACUGGUGCCGUGACCUUCUUGGAUACAAUUGAUCAGCUGCAGCCGAUCGGCGGGUGUUGUCCGUCUACGUGGAACUGUUGCUGUGACUUCCCUGCAUUCAGCAAGCCGGCUGCAGUCGUCUGCCAGGUGUCUUGCUGUGGAUCGAGUUCUGCCUUCCAUUGUCAGCUAAUGAACUUUCCUCAUUUCAGUUACAUUCAGUUUUCUCUAACAUUCUUAAGACAUUGACUUUUGAAUCAGAUGUAGAAUCAUUAAGACAUUAAAUCAAUUUAUUUUGUUAUAUGCAAGUGACCAGUACGGACAUUAAGAGAUACAACAUGCCUACGCCAGUAUUGGGGAAUGGUAGAGGUUUCAUCAGUUCAGAUGGUGCUGUGAGACGUAAAGAAAAUGAUCAAAUUUGUGAUGUCAAUUUGGGCUUUUCACAAAUGAGGGGAAAAGUCAACUCUGGUGCUUCAUCUUUUGCACCUGCCCCAAUCAGUGAUGAUUCUUGUUUGCAGAUAACAGAGCUACUCGAGGAGCUUGGUAGCCAAAUUGGAGAUAGUAUUUUGGACUGGCUCUUAGCUGAUCGUACUCCUGCUCUGGGCCAUCAGAUUACCCCUGAGAAAGUUAAAAGCGAGCCAGCUAGCACUACUUCUGAUUUAUCCAGGUUGAAUUUGAUUGUACAAUCCGACAAUAGAGAACCUCCCAUUUUCUGUGGUGAUGGUACAGAUAAACACACUGUUCAUGAGUGGAUAGAGUUAAUGGAGGUAUACUUACGAAAGUGUGAUUGCCCUAAAGCAGAGCAUGCCAAUGAGGUUCUGAUCCACCUUUUGGGUAGAGCUAAAAACAUUGUCAAAGUAGGGCUAAAAAGUAAUCCCUCACCUGACAUGGUUGUUACCCCUGAAACCAUUUACAAAAUGCUCUUACGCUAGUGAGAGCCCUGAGUCUUGUCUUCCACUGGCAGACUUCUAUUCUACACUGCCAUAUGCCAAAGAAAGCCCCGUCGACUACUGGGUCCAUCUCAAUAAUGCGGCCAAAAUCGCUGAUAGCAUAAGCAGGUUAGUCGAAUGAAGAACAUUUCACAGGAAAUUGCGAUGAUGUUUAUUAGAAACUGCCCUAAUGUUGAACUUUCUAAUGUGUUUAGGUACAAGCCUAUCACCAAGUGGUUAUCAGCAGAGGUGCAAGAAGCUAUUGAUGAACAUCAAAGGGAGCUGAGAAUGAAGAAACCACAUCCUUACUCUCUCCCUGGCCAUUUGUUACAAGUAGCAAAUGCCGCCGUCAGCCACACAGAGACCACUACUGUGGGCAAUACUGCAGUGAACGCAGCAGCGUGCAAAACCAGUACCCAGACCACAAAGCCUGAGAUUGCCACAGCGCCUCCACACACGGCCUUGAUUAACACGGGUACGUUAGAUCGAGUGCUCAGUAUGCUGGAAAGGAUGCUCGACCGCACUAAUGCACAGGCUGCUCCAGAUAGACCACAGUUGCCUUCUUGGUCUCAUCCAUCCAGAUGUCAAGUCUGGGAGCCGCACUCAGAUUCAGGGAAACUGACACACCCGUACUUGGGUGGGAUGGUGUGGGUGAAGAUGUUCAGACCCUCCAAUAUGAUGCAUCAAGCACAUACGAGUUGACUUGUAAGUCAGUGACAAGUGAUAAUGUGGUUCUGUUUCAGAACGUGACCCAGUUGGCAGGGGCAGACAGCCUUUUCUAUACUGACAUUUUAGUCAAUGACAGCAUUCCUCUAAGAGCCUUGUUAGACGGUGUCUCUAUGGCUUGCACCAUCAGUGAAGUUGCGGAAUCCCGUUUAUUGGAUGCUGCCAUCAGUGAAGUUGCGGAAUCCCGUUUAUUGGAUGCUGGGUUGUCACUGGACCAGUGCAAGAGGCAGGCCAAUAUUAUGCCGGUUGGAUGUGGUGGAGUUCAGGUUGCGCCAAAGUGUACAUACCAGCUGAAGAUGAGAGUGUAUGAGUAUGAAGUCAGUGUACCUACGCUGGUUGUUAUGGGACAACGGGAUGAGUUGAUACUGGGCACCAACGUCCUUAAAUUUAUCUUGAGCCAGUUUAAGCAGAACCCCACAUACUGGCAUGUUGUGAAUAGGCCUGAUUCAACGAAAGAUGCUGAAGUAGAACAGUUCCUUAAUGUACUUUCUGGUUCUUAACAGAUGGAGAGGCGAUGAGAUGCCUGACAUUGGAACUGCCAGAUUAGUACAAGCUGUUACGUUGCUGCCAAAGCAGGAGCACCUGGUGUGGGCCAAGCUCCCUACUACAACACCUAUUUCAGAGGGCAGUGUGGUGCUGAUUGAACCAACUAAGUC